rnacentral:sRNA from 1 species
AUCCGAGGAAGUCUAACAGUGUCGAGGAU